rnacentral:lncRNA from 1 species
UGUGAUCCUCUUCCUUCACGGCUUUCCUGAGCUCUGGUACUCUUGGCGCCACCAGAUCACCGCCUUAGCUUCCCUUGGCUACAGAGCCGUGGCUCCGGACUUACGUGGGUUCGGUGACACGGAUGCGCCGCCUGACGUGACCAGCUACACAUGUUUCCACGUGAUUGGAGACCUCGUCGGACUCAUCGACACCGUGGCUCCCAAUGAUGAGAAGGUGUUUGUUGUGGGACAUGAUUGGGGUGCGAUCAUGGCAUGGUUCUUAUGUUUGUUUAGACCUGACAGAGUCAAAGCUUUAGUCAACUUGAGUGUCGUUUUUAAUCCUUUUGGUUCUAUCAACAACGUGAUUGAGGCUCUGAGGGCUUAUUAUGGUGACAAUUACUACAUGUGCAGAUUUCAGGUAACUCGGAUGUCCAUUUCUCAAACGAUAUGGCCGUCUAUUAAAAUUAAUUAAUCUUCCGUGUGUAGUACUUCAAAUUAUGAAGUCAUAUGAUUUAAUUAUACUGUUAAAUUAUAUGGUUUAAUAAUUUUUUUAAGUUUUAACAAAUUUAGGAGUCUAAAUUUGUAUAUUUGGGAUAGGAAAAAUAUCCACCGUCCACUCGUUUUUUACAUCUUUUUUAAAAAUACACAAUUCUUUCAUUUUUUGGCUGGAAUUCACCUAAAGUUACAUUUUGUUUCACUUUUCCACUUCCAUUUGGAAUCCGUUAAAAAAACUAACGGAAACUUAAAAAAAUGAUCAUUUUACCCCUCAAAAUGAAAAUUACAAUUUCACCUUAAAAAUUGUAAAAAAAUAAUCAAAUUAAAUCUAAUUAUUUUUUCUAUUGGUCAAUAAAGAAAUUAAUUUCACAACCAUCCAAUGUAGGUUUUUUUUUAAAUAUAUCUGUAAUUAGAAUGCUAAAUUAUAACAGUAGUAUUAAAAAUAGCUCAAUCUCGCAAACCAUCAAUUGAAUUUAAGAUAAGUAGAGUUUUAUUAUUCAUUGAGUUAUAAUCUCUAGUAGUUAAGAUUUUUUUUGUACUUCAUUAAUGUACCAAUAAUGAUAUUCAUUAUUAAAUCUGAUUAUUUUAUAUAUUUUUUAGGGUGAAAUUACAAUUUUCGUUUUGGGGGUAAAAUUGUCAUUUUUUAAAGUUUACGUUAGUUUUCUUAAAGGAUUCCAAACGGAAGUGGAAAAGUGAAACAAAAUGUAACUUUAGAUGGAUUCCAACAAAAAAAUGAAGGAAUCGUGUAUUUUUGAAAAAAGUGUAAAAAACGGGUGGACGGUGGAUAUUUUUCCUUUGGAAUAUUUUCAUAUACGAGAAUUGAUCUCGCUCAAGAUAUUGAAUUUAUUAAAAUUCAAAAAAAUUAUUAAAACAUAUGAUUGGAUAGCAUUAUGCUAUUAUAUUAUUAAAUCACAUGGUUUAAUAACUUUUAUAGAUAUUAUACUAUUAAACUGUAUGUUUAAGUAACUUUCUCAAACUUUAAUAAAUUCAGGAUAAAAAUUAAAAUAUUUGUGUAUGCGCGCGCGAUAUAUAUGAUAUUAUGUUAUAUUAUUGUAUGCAGGAGCCUGGAGAGAUUGAAGCAGAGUUUGCGCAGAUUGGUACUGAGACGGUUAUUAAGGAAUUCUUGACAUUUCGGACUCCGGGACCGAUUAUUUUGCCUAAAGGCAAAGGAUUUGGGCAUCCACCAGUUGCUCCAAUGGCAUUACCCAGUUGGUUGUCUGAGGAAGAUGUUAAGUAUUUCACCGCCAAAUUUGACAAGAAAGGCUUUACCGGAGGAAUCAACUAUUAUAGAAAUAUUAAUCUGUAAUGCUCCCUUAUUCCUCACUCUCUACGUUUUUUUUUUUUUGUUAAAAGGAAGGCUAAUAUUGCAUUAACACAAAGAAGAAAAGAGAUACAAUAGUUCUGAAGGGUAUGAACCCAUCCACACAAUAGUUUCACAUUUUUCCAAAGCUAAUUUAGUUAAAGAAUGGGCAAUGGUAUUACAAGAUCUAUGGGCAUACUGAAUCUUAACAUGAUCAAAUCCCUUAAUUAAGUUCUGAAUUUCAGAUAUUACCCAAAAAAUUUCACAUCUGCUGCCCUGCAUGUUGUUUACAAGAUUGACCACCUCUUGAGAAUCUGAUUCAACCAUCAAACUCCUUGCUCCUGCUUGAGCUGCUAUCUGAAUUCCCCACUCCAUUGCUUCGGCCUCCACAAAAGCUACAUCACCAUUAAACUUAGAGAGCUUAAUUGCAGCUGCCAAAACAUUUCCAGCUUCAUCUCUACAUUUGAUACAUAGCUUUUUAAUUUUGUUAACUUUCAAUUGUGAUAUGAAAUUAUAAGCUAUUAAGUAAAAUUGCAUAUUACAACAUGCAUAUUUAUUAAAGGAAAAUGUUUGGUGUAGAGAAGCACGAGAGAAAGACGAGAGAAAUAAUGAAAAAAAGUAUAGAGAGAGAGUGAGUGGGUAGAGAGAGAGAGAGAGAGAGAGAGAGCAAAAUUCUCUCGUCUUUCUCUCAUGCUUCUCUCUCUCUAGCACUACCCUUUAUUAAAUACUAUCAACUUUUAAUUUUCCUUUCACAGCAUCACACUAUCAAACGAAACUAACUAUUGUGAUUUUAAUGUCAACCUGAAGCAAAAUAGUUUCAAAUAUAUCCUCUAUAUAUAUAUAUAGUAAAUCCUUUUCGUCAUUGCAGGAGCCAGGAACUUCUUGCACCGUGGGCGGGGAGUCGAUUACAAAUUCCGACCAAGUUCAUUAUAGGCGACCUGGACCUGGUUUAUCAUAUGCCAGGGGUGAAAGAAUACAUACACAAAGGUGGGUUCAAAAGAGAUGUGCCAUUGUUGGAGGAAGUAGUGAUAAUGGAAGGAGUUGGGCACUUCAUUAAUCAAGAAAAGGGUGAUGAGAUUAGCAAGCACAUUUAUGACUUCUUCAACAAGUUCUGAUUAGUUCUUUGCAUCUUCAUUCAUAUUUCCGCUUGGGUGUCUUUUUGUUUUAAUAAAGUUGCUGGGAUGUUCUUGUGCCGGCCUGUUCUAGUUUUUGAUUCACUAUAUACCAAGCUAUUAGUGGCUUCGACUUGUAAUUUCCGUAUUGUUGGAACAAUCAAAUAAUUUAGAGUGCCUUUGGUAUAUAAAGUUAUCUAAUAUAUAGAUAUUGAUAAAAGAAAUAUAUAUAAUUUCACAAACUAGUACAUGUAUUUAUAUAGUGUUAUAUAAAGUCAUCUUAAAAGUUUAAUAUUUGCAUUCUCUUUAAUUUUUUUUCUCAAUGUAAAUUCUAUAAAUAUUGUAUAAUAUACAAAUCAUUAUCCCAAACAAUCAUUAAAAAAAAAAUUGUUUCAUCAUGAAUUUUUAAAGCAGCAUAGCAUAUAUUGUUUAAAAUAUGGAAAUAAUUGUUACUAUGUAGAGCUAAGUUUCGUAAGAUAGUAUCUAGAAAAAAUUAAUCACUUAUUAUAAUGUUUACUUCAAUCUUAUUUAUAAUUUAAUCAAAUUAGGACUAAAUUUUUUUAUAACUAUAUAGAGAUUAUUCUUAUAUAGAGUACUACUAUAAUGAAAUUUUACUAUAAAGUAAAAUAUAUGUAAGCCCAUCUUUUGGUCUUAUUUAAUUUGUAUUAAAGUUUUAAAUGAAAAGAAGAAACGUGAGGACUAUGAUAAUUAUUAUGGAAAUAAAACAAAAAAGUUGAGCCCAAGUUUAAUUUACAAUGGAAGAAUACGAGAAAUAACAAAAAGGUUGUUUUCUACUCUUGUUCACAAAUUGUGCAUUUACUUCUUGCAUUAGAGAAUUGGAAUUAUUAACAAGUUUAUUUCACAAAAUGAGAGCGGAAAUCAGAAUACUCACCCCAAUUUGGGAAUGAAAAUUCUCAGGGGAUGGGAAUUAGAAUUAGAAAAAAACCCAGAUUAGGUUGGAGGCUUAAAGCCCCGGCACGCAUAGAUUGAGCCUAAAUAUGGGCCGCAAAAUUUAAAGUCCGCACAAGUUGGGUUAUGUCAUAAGAUGCCUUACAUAACAUUUUUUUUUUUACUGACCAUAAAAAUACCAAAUACCCUUUAUUCUUUUCUCAAAUUUUCAAUCAACCUCGUAGGGUUAUGAUGAAAUCAAUACAUGCUUAAUUGUGGGGAUGUCAAUGGCCAAAUCGGGCUAGGGCUAUGAGUCAGGGUCACCUCGAAAAUUUUGUGUACAUUUUGCUUGAAAUGCAGUUGCAGUGGAGUGGACAUCAUAAGAUCAAGCACUUCCUGGCCUUCGGCGUUUUUCAAUAUCAAAGUGUACAUCCAGGAGACCCGUUAUACCAGCUGUUAUCUUUUGACCAACUUUUACAGGGCCAACGCCCUGUGGAGUGCCUGCACAAACCGAAUCAAUAGAACAAUGUCAAACUUCAAUUAUCCAUAAAGACUUGCAUCCAAAACUGGGAGUGGAUUUGAAUAUGAUUAUGAAAAUUGGCGAGAAGGAUAUCUUAUGAAGUGAACACAGUAAAUAACAAUAAUGACACUAAUAACGUAACUUAUACACAGUGACAAUACACCUUCAUAAGCAUAAUAAGCUCUAACAUAUCAGUUAUCAGUAUUUAUACCAAGUAAAAUUGCGCGUAUAUGCUUCACCAAAGCAAAAAUGAAAUUUGGUAACAGAUUCCACUAUCAACUGAUAUGCCAGUUUAUGCCAAGACAUCAUAAUAUCUUGAAGCACCUAGAAAAAUUAACUUAUAAAGUAUGCUAGUGUUUUUAUUUGAAGGAAAAUGAACUGCAAUACCUGUUAAGUGUUAACAUGACAUCUCCUUGAACAAGUGUCACAAUUGAACUUAUGUGGCUAAUUAGAUAUGGUAUCUUAAAAAUCAUAUCCUUUGUGAAGCCUUUCUGUCGAAUCUCUCCAUCAACCUGCAGUGAAACACAUUUAAAGUUAAUCCACCCAGUGAAAAACAAAUUUGAAGCUUUGACAAAAGCCAUAAAGAAAUAUGAGAGUAAAGAGUAAUGAUUAUGAACCUUUAACCAUAGUUCUAAGUUGUGAGGGUCAGGCACUGCUGACUUUGGUAGCUGCAAAUAUAUUUUAAACAAGUCAAAAAGGAGUGUAUUUAGUAAACACAGAACAAAAUUGGCAACAGAAAAUAAAAUUCUCUUCCUCUCUUCUUUUCUACUAGCAGAUACAAGUAAAGGGUGCACCAAGCGAAGGAUAGAUGGUAAACCCUUGUCUGCUUUGAAAGAAAAAGACCAAUUUUCUUUUUCAAACUUCGACAAACAAGGUAUAGUUGUCAUUUUGAAGCACAAUUAUUUUGUUUUCCAUAACCUAUCCCAAUACCACAUUGGUGCUGUGAAUGGCCAAACAAAGAACUGGUGCAAAGAGUAAACCAAACUGUUUAAAAUUAAUUUUUCAAUAUUGAGCCUGAAAAUUGAGUACAACACAGCAUAGUUUCAGCAGAGAUAGAAACAUCAAAGUACUUCUUUCAGUUUCUUUCGAAAGAGCUAAUUGGUGUGAAGGUGUCCUGCCCUUUAGCCACUGGCCAUGGAAGACAUGCAGACGGACACAAUGGACAAAAAAUAAAUGAUAAGAAAAUACAGCAUUAUAAAUUGGAUGAAAUAAGAUAACUUAAUGUGGUCAUACACUUAUUGUUUCAUAAUGAAGCGCACAAGUAGUAUCCAAUCUUCUGAUUAUAAGUUGGUGUUGUUUCAGAAUACAAUUGAAUAAUACUUGAUCCUCAUGUUCAACAGCAUAACACAUUACAAAGGAAUAAACCCAUCUUCUCUCAUAGGCAUAAAUUCUCUCCAAAUCCAAAAGAAAAAAAAAUGUGUUAUUUAAUCGCCACGAAACACAACCGCAAAUAUUAGACAUUGAUUCGGAACCUGUCUAAUUACAUUACAAAACUUCCAAUUUGAGUAUUCUUUAAAUAUCUGAAAGAUUAAAAUUUAUCUAAAUAAUAAUCUCAUUAGCUGUUAUUAGAAAAUGUUGGGAUCCGGUUAUAAGAUUAUCCCCUUAGCGAUUCGGUUGUUAUUAUUCCAAUCCUCAAAAUUUCACCCAAAUUUGGUUAAGAAAUUGCUGAUAAGUCAUUUAAGGUGAUAUUUCCCGCUGCACUUUUUCAAUUGCAAGUGGUACGAGAGUAGACAGAUACCGAUCACCAGAAUCUUGGGUCGAGUGACUUAUCUCCUUAACGAAUUCUUCAUGUUCAGGACCUCGCUGCGAACUGAAAAUUUGGUAAAUGAAGCAAAAUCUAAGUUAAAAUGAUCUGCUUUAGAAUUUAAGGUUUCUUCAAAACCAAGGCGGAACGUUAGCAAAAAAUGUGCAUUUCUUUUCCUAACUAGAAGAUCUUGUACUGAUAUGAAUGACUUGCCUCGUUUACUUAUUUCUUAUUGGCUCAAAUAAGCUUUGACCAGCAAGCAUGAAGAAAGUUGAACAACAGCCAGUGAAGUAAGUUGUAUUAUCAUCUGGUGAAUCUGUUUUAGCCUGCUGCUGCACACGAGUAAUUUGAUAUGAUAACAAUUUAAAACUACAAUGCAAUAUGGAAACAGAAGUUUUAAGGGGCACUAACAGCUUGCAUUUGGUAACUUUGUGCUGUUGAUGGCUCAGAGUUCCCACGACUUCUUCUCUCAUUCACAAGAAGAAGUGCACAUUUUCUUGUAAAGAACAGAAGCAGCACUCUCACAAAAAACGUAAUAAAGAAUUCGACGAUAAUGCCUGAUCCUAGAGCUGCAUUUAUAGGAAAAGGUUAGUGAGUACAAAUCUGUGAAAUGGAUAGUAAUCAAAAUGACAACUAUCACUUAUUAUGAACUAACUCUGAACUCAUUGGCCUUCUAGUUUACGGUAGCCUCAACGAAUAAAGGUAAUGACAUUUUCUCAGUACAACCUGGACAGCAACCAUAAUGUCCCAUAUCGUUUAAUUUUACUUUUAAAAGAUCAUGUCCUUCACCACUCUAAAUGCAAAGAACAGAUGGCUAAUUCAAGAUCAUUGAUAUUUUCUUUGUGGUGUGCUCUAUGAUUGUGUUUUCCUUCAAAAUUAUACUAUAAACUUCAAAGCAAAAAAUGCACUUGAUAAAAGAGUUGUUGUGCUCUUUACCAAGCUCUUAUGAGCACCUGGUUGACAUUCUCAUGUAUGGGAGACAGUCCCUCUCGAUGGUGGAUGUGAAAGAGACAUUGAGUUUCAAGGCUGCAACCAAGAAAGAAGCAAGUCAUGGGGAAUGAUUGACAGUUAGAGGGAGGCCAGGAAAGAGAGAAAAUGGUAAAGGAAAGAAGAAAAGAUCCAAGUCCAGACCCAAGAAUAUGAAGUGCUUCCAUUGGCAUAAGGAAGGUCACUUCAAGAAAGACUGUCCAUAGAAGAAUUAUAAAAGCAAAGAAACAAAAGAGAAGAUUGGUGAUGCUGUUGUUGUAUCAGAAGGACAAGAAUCUGAUGGUUAUGACUCUACUGGAGUUCUCAUAGUCUCUGAUGGUGCAUUUAGAGGUAAUUGGGUAUUAGAUUAUGGUUGUUCAUUUCAUAUGUGCCCUAAUAAAACCUUCUUUAAGAACUAUGAAACCUAUGAUGAAGGGAUAGUUGUAAUGAGAAAUGAUGCUAGUUGUAGGGUAAUUGGCAGGGGCACCAUUAAACUGAAAAUGCUUAAUGGCACAAUAAGAAAAUUAACAAAUGUUAGACAUGUCCCUGAUUUAAAGAGAAACUUGAUUUCUCUCAGCAUGCUUGACAAAAUGGGGUGUGUUAUCAAGCUCGAGUCAGGUACUUUAAAGGUGUUGAAAGGGUCUAUGGUGUUGAUGAAAGGAAACUUAGACAAUGGCCUGUAUGUGCGCCAGAGGUCUGUAGUCACAGGAGAUGUUGGAGUUUCAAACCAGAAUCUAAACAAAACUUUAUUGUGGCGCUUUAGAUUAGGCCAUAUGAGUGAGAGAGGCUUGAGAGAACUAUCAAAACAAGGAGUCUUAGGUGAAGAUAAAAUAGAGCCCUUGGAAUUUUGUGAGGAGUGUGUCCUAGGCAAAUCCUCAAGAGUUAAAUUCAGCACUGGUGCACAUAUUUCAAGAGGAACUCUAGAAUACAUACAUGCUGAUCUGUGGGGACCUGCACAGAUAGCAUCCUUAGGAGGGGCAAGGUACUUUCUAUCUUUAAUUGAUGACCAUUCCAGAAUGGUUUGGGUGUAUGUGCUGAAAAACAAAGAUGAAGUGUUAAGAAUUCAAAAACUGAAAAACAUUGAUUGAAACUCAGACCAACAGGAAGGUUAAGAAACUCAGAACUGAUACUGGUUUAGAAUUCUGCAACAAGAGGUUUGAAUAUUUUUAGAGCAAGCAUGGAGUCAUGAGGCACAGAACAGUAAGAUAUAUAUCUCAGCAAAAUAGAUUAGCUGAGAGGAUGAACAGAACCUUAGUUAAUAAAGUAAGGUGUAUGCUCAUUUAUUAUAAGCUACCCAUGUCCUUGUGGGCUGAGGCUCUAUCAACAACUUGUCACAUUGUGAACAGAAGCCCUUCAACUGGAAUUAACUUCAAAACACUAUUUGAAUUUUGGUAUGGUAAACCAGCAGAUUAUUCCAGUUUAAAGAUCUUUGGCUGUCCAGCAUAUGCUCACAUCAAACAAGGAAAAUUAGAGCCCAGGGCAUUGAAGUGUGUAUUUCUUGGUUACCUUGAAGGGGUAAAAUGGUAUAAACUAUGGUGCACAUACAUGAAACCUCCAAAAGCAAUCAUAAGCAGAUAUAUAGUAUUUAAUGAAGCUGAGAUGCUCCAACACUCAGUAUCUUUAAAGACUACAAAUGUAGAACUGGAAGAUAAAGAUGAGAGAUCUUAUCUUGAGGUGGAGCUGUCAAACUCAAACCAGAAACAGAAAUCAAGAUCAGAGGCUGGAGAUGUAAUAGACAUGGAAAUACAUGAUACUGAGAAUGAAACAGCAAGUGAUCAGGGGAGAAGUGAAGAUUAUCAGUUAGUGAUGGACAAAGGAAAGAGAGUAAUAAAACCUCCUAGAAGAUAUGCAUAUGCAGAUCUAAUUUCAUUUGCAUUAACAGCAGUGCAUGAAAUAGCAACAGAUGAACCUAGAACAUAUUCAGAAGCUAUUAACAGUGAUAAGGCAGAAGAAUGGAUCAAGGCUAUGGAUGAGGAAAUGAUGUCUUUGAAAAAGAAUCACACCUGGAAUCUCAUUGAAAGACUAGCAAACAAGAAGGUAGUAGGGUGCAAAUGGAUCUACAGGAUAAAGGAAAGAAUACCAGAUGUUGAGCCACAAAGAUACAAAGCCAGGUUGGUUGUAAAAGGCUUCACUCAGAAAGAGGGGGUUGACUUUACAGAAGUUUUCUCCCCAGUGGUGAGAUAUGCUUCCGUGAGGAUCCUGUUAUCUCUAGUGGUUGUACAAGACAUGCAUCUUGAACAGAUGGAUGUGAAGACUGCCUUCCUGUAUGGUGAAAUAGAUGAGAUGAUAGUGAUGUCACAACCUGAAGGGUAUGAGGAUCCAGAAAAGGCUGAUCAUGUAUGUCAUCUAAAGAAGUCAUUAUAUGGACUAAAACAGUCUCCAAGACUGUGGUACCUAAGAUUUGACAGGUUUAUGUCAGAUCAUGGUUUUCAAAGGAGCAGUUUUGACUGCUGUGUCUACUUUAAAACCAUAAAAGAUGGUGACAAGAUCUACCUACUGCUCUAUGUAGACGACAUGUUAAUAGCUUGUAAUGAAAUGGAGUUCAUAAAUGAAUUGAAACAGCAGCUGAGCAAUUCAUUUGAGAUGAAGGAUCUGGGUGCUGCAAAGAAGAUCCUUGGUGUUCAGCUGAAGAGAGACAGAAAGAAUGGUAUCCUAAGCCUAACACAACAAAAAUACAUCAGGAAAGUACUUGAGAAAUUCAAUAUAGAUAAAUGUAAACCAGUACAGACUCCAUUGCCCUUUCAUUUCAGACUGUCCUGUCAACAGUAUCCAAACUCUGAUGCUGAUAAAGCUGAAAUGAAUAAAUUUCCAUAUUCAAGUACUAUUGGAUGUUUGAUGUACGCAAUAGUCCUGACUAGGCCUAAUCUCUCUCAUGCAGUGAGCGUAGUAAGCAAGUAUAUGGCAAACCCAAGGAAAGAUCAUUGGAGGGUUGUAGUAUGGAUCUUCAGAUACCUUGCUGGUACAACUUAUUAUGGUUUGAUCUAUGGAGCUGAGAAAUAUGCAGAGGUUAGUGUGGAGGGUUAUGUAGAUGCAGAUUAUGCUGGAGAUCUGGAUAAAAGAAGGUCUUUAACAAGUUUUCUGUUUAUGCGUAAUGGUUGCACCAUAAACUGGAAGGCUUCACUGCAGAGUGUUGUUGCUCUGUCAACAACUGAGGCAGAAUAUACAACAGCUGCAGAAGCAAUCAAAGAAGCUAUUUGGCUCAGAGGGAUGGUGACAGAAUUGGGAUUUGAACAAAAACAAAUUACAGUUCAUUGUGACAGCCAAAGUGCUAUAUGUCUGAGCAAGAACCAGAUACAUCACGAAAAGACCAAGCAUUUUGAUAUCAAGCUUUACUUUGUCAGAUUGGAAAUAUCAAAGGGUGUGAUUAAGCUGGCUAAAAUACACACUGAUAGCAACAUUGCUGACAUGCUCACCAAAGCUGUACCAGGAGCUAAGCUUGAGUUCUGCUUGAACUCAGCUGACAUCUGCAGGGUAUAGACUGCAGAAAAGAAGUGGAAUGAUGAAUCUGAAGAAUGGAUGAUUUGAGUUCAAGGUGAAGAAUGUUGAAUAUGAACUACAAAUCAGUUUAUAGUUAAGUGCGACAAGUCGGUUGAAGAUUUGUCAAUACCAUGACAUGCCGGUUGACAAUCCUGAGAAGGGUAUAUGACAAGAAUAUCAUGUCAUCUGUGUGUGCAAAGAAGACAUGUGAUUUCGCAUGUGACUCACUUAAACAAAACGGCUACUUGAACUGUCGUUUUAUUACUUCGAAUAACAAAGAUGAAGACACGUGUGAUGGAGGCUUAUCAAAAGUCUGUUAAGCCGUUAAUUAGUGCGGGAAGCUGCUGAUCUUCGUCACUGAACACAGGGGAAGCUUGCUGGUGAUUGAGAGUCCAUCUUGAUCGAGCAUUGCUUAUAUAUACAACUAGGUAUUCUGGAAUAAGUCAUGUUUUUCAUGUGUGGUUAGCUUCUCUGAAUAAGCUUGUACUUUGUAAGACACUCAUUCAAUACAAACUUGGAUUCAUCCUUUCACAGUGGACGUAGGCUUCCAUAGCCGAACCACUAUAAGCUUUCUUUGGGUUAUUCUUUCUGUUCUUAAAUUCUUUCAUUGUUUUGCUUUGAUUGUUGGAUUGUUUAAGCAUCCUGUAACUGAGUAUAGAUCACCUUAGUUUUAGAUACAAGAACCCUUUUUUGAGUGGGUUUUGGUGUGCAGUUAUCAGUUCUUUACUGGUCUUUGGCACAACAAGAACAAUAUAUUCAGGGACUUGAAUAAAUGGAGAAUCAUUAACUGGAUCCACAAAAACCAAAACCGCCAAAUCAUUUGUCCCAUUCUUGUUCCUGGCAGAGACUAGAAUUGUGUCCUCACCAUAAAAGUUUUUGUUUCUGAACUAAAAAAAUGAAAAAAAAAACGAGUCACUAGUAAGGUAUGAAUAAUGUAAAGCUUGAAAAGUCCAUAAGAGUAUUAAUCCAGGAGGUAAUACACGAGAUAUUAAAUCAUAUCGAGUGAGUGAAUAAUACUGGCUGUCACUUCCUUUGUGAAUGGAUGGCCCCCAUUCAAAAAAAUAUUUGCGCAGAGUACAAGAAUUUUAUAAAUUCCACUCUUUUCAGGAGUAUAAGUAACAUCAAAAGCUCUGGCCUGAACUUUCAGUUUGCCGGAAGACUGGAUUCAAGGGGUUUUUUUUUUUUUAUUUUAAAAAAAGCAUCACUCCAGAAAAUCUUAUGUAUGACUUCUCAAAGAAAAUAUGUGAAUUUGUUUCUUUCAGUGUUAGUUGCGUCGACAGACAGCGAGGGAGCAAUUUCUAUCUGGUCAAUAAUGCCAUUAGUUGGUUCUAUUAAUCUUCCAUUUCUAAAACGAUAGGGCUGAACUCUUCGAUAUGAUAUUAUAUUAUUGUAUGUAGUCAGAUAACAACAAUGUAAUAUUAGCUUUAGACUGCUUAUAAGACUUUUAACUUAGAGAUGUUUCUGUGACUAAUUUAUUAUCACAUACAUUAAUCCGGAUCUGCCGAGCCAUGUCAUGUGGGAAUUAAAAACAGAGAGCAGCACAGCAUACAAGAAAAUAUUCUGAAAUGGUGCCCAAAUUCAACAACCAAUAAACAAGCAAACUUGAAUCUUGUAAUUUUUUUUUUAUUCUUUUAUCUAAUAAGCCGGUGGUGUCUAAUCCAAAUCAUACUUGUCUAUCUCAGUACAGCUGCCCGAGAUGGGCCACAUUGCAAUGCUUUUCAAAAUUUCUCUGAAAUAGUUGUAUUUUCCGACACGUAAUUGAAUGAGUUUCAAUUCAAUUAAAUGAUGAUGUUACAGCUCACGCCCUAAAAAGUAACGUACAAUCAUAGAAAUAAAGACGAGGGAAGAUAAUUUUGGUGCACGUAUCUAUAUGUGGGUGAUGCAAAACGAUUCUCCUAGUCCUCAUCCAAUAAAAUUAUAUUCUUAGAUAAUCCGCUUGGAAAGUCUUCCUUUUCAUUCCUAAUUUUUCCUCUCUUCUAUCCUCUAGCUUUAGUUAGCAACAUAAUAACCCGAAAUCAGAACCUCUAAUUCACUCGUAGGCAGUGUUUUACUUUUGAGGAACUGAAUUAACAUGGAGGGCGUACAACACAGAACUGUUAGGGUGAAUGGUAUUAACAUGCACAUUGCAGAGAAAGGUCAAGGUCCUGUGAUUCUCUUCCUUCACGGCUUUCCUGAGCUCUGGUACUCUUGGCGCCACCAGAUCACCGCCUUGGCUUCCCUUGGCUACAGAGCCGUGGCUCCGGACUUACGUGGGUUCGGUGACACGGAUGCGCCGCCUGACGUUACCAGCUACACAUGUUUCCACGUGAUUGGAGACCUCGUCGGACUCAUCGACACUGUGGCUCCCAAUGAUGAGAAGGUGUUUGUUGUGGGACAUGAUUGGGGUGCGUUCAUGGCAUGGUUCUUAUGUUUGUUUAGACCUGACAGAGUCAAAGCUUUAGUCAACUUGAGUGUCGUUUUUAAUCCUUUUGGUUCUAUCAACAACGUGAUUGAGGCUCUGACGGCUUAUUAUGGUGACAAUUACUACAUGCGCAGAUUUCAGGUAACUCGGAUGUACAUUUCUCAAACGAUAUGGCCGUCUAUUAAAAUUAAUUAAUCUUCCGUGUGUAGUACUUAAAAUUAUUAAGACAUAUGAUUUAAUUAUACUGUUAAAUCAUAUGGCUUAAUAAUUUUUUCAAGUUUUAACAAAUUUAAGAGUCUAAAUUUGGAUAUUUGGGAUAUUUUCAUAUAUGAGCAUUGAUCUCGCUCAAGAUAUUGAAUUUAUUAAAAUUCGAAAAAAUUAUUAAAACAUAUGAUUGGAUAACAUUAUGCUAUUAUAUUAUUAAAUUACAUGGUUUAAUAACUUUUAUAGAUAUUAUACUAUUAAACUGUAUGUUUAAAUAAUUUUCUCAAACUUUAAUAAAUUCAGGAUCAAAGAUUAAAAUAUUUGUGUAUGUGCGCGCGCGCUAUAUAUGAUAUUAUAUUAUAUUAUUGUAUGCAGGAGCCUGGAGAGAUUGAAGCAGAGUUUGCGCAGAUUGGUACUGAGACGGUUAUUAAGGAAUUCUUGACAUUUCGGACUCCGGGUCCGAUUAUUUUGCCUAAAGGCAAAGGAUUUGGGCAUCCACCAGAUGCUCCAAUGGCAUUACCCAGUUGGUUGUCUGAGGAAGAUGUUAAGUAUUUCACCGCCAAAUUUGACAAGAAAGGCUUUACUGGAGGAAUCAACUAUUAUAGAAAUAUUAAUCUGUAAUGCUCCCUUAUUCCUCACUCUCUACAUUUGAUACAUAGCUUUUUUAUUUUGUGAAUUUUCAAUUGUGAUAUGAAAUUAUCAGCUAUUAAGUAAAAUUGCAUAUUACAACAUGCAUAUUUAUUAAAUACUAUCAACUUUUAAUUUUUCUUUCACAGCAUCACACUAUCAAACGAAACUAACUAUUGUGAUUUUAAUGUCCACCUGAAGCAAAAUAGUUUCAAAUAUAUCCUCUAUAUAUAUAGAGAGAGAGAGUAAAUAUCCUUUUCGCCAUUGCAGGAACCAGGAACUUCUUGCACCGUGGGCGGGGAGUCGAUUACAAAUUCCGACCAAGUUCAUUAUAGGCGACGUGGACCUGGUUUAUCAUAUGCCAGGGGUGAAAGAAUACAUACACAAAGGUGGGUUCAAAAGAGAUGUGCCAUUGUUGGAGGAAGUAGUGAUAAUGGAAGGAGUUGGGCACUUCAUUAAUCAAGAAAAGGGUGAUGAGAUUAGCAAGCACAUUUAUGACUUCUUCAACAAGUUCUGAUUAGUUCUUUGCAUCUUCAUGCAUAUUUCCGCUUGGGUGUCUUUUUAUUUUAAUAAAGUUGCUGUAUUUUAAUAAAGUUGCUGGGAUGUUCUUGUGCCGGCCUGUUCUAGUUUUUGAUUCAUUAUAAACCAAGCUAUUAGUGGCUUCGACUUGUAAUUUCCGUAUUGUUGCAACAAUCAAAUAAUUUAGAGUGCCUUUGGUAUAUAAAGUUAUCUAAUAUAUAGAUAUUGAUAAAAGAAAUAUAUAUAAUUUCACAAACUAGUACAUGUAUUUAUAUAGUGCUAUAUAAAGUCAUCAUAAAAAUUUAAUAUUUGCAUUCUCUUUAAUUUUUUUUUCUCUCAAUAUAAAUUCUAUAAAUAUUGUAUAAUAUAUAAAUCAUUGUCCCAAACAACUAUUACAAAAAAAAAAAAAUUGUUUCAUCAUAAAUUUUUAAUGCAACAUAGCAUGAAUCGUUUAAAAUAUAGAAAUAAUUAUUACUAUGUAGAGUUAAGUUUCGCAAGAUAAUAUCUAGAAAAAAUAAUCACUUAUUAUAAUGUUUAUUUCAUUCUUAUAUAUAAUUUAAUCAAAUUAGGACUAAAUUUUUUUAUAACUAUAUGAAGAUUAUUCUUAUAUAGAGUACUACUUAAUGAAGUUUUACUAUAAAGUAAAAUAUAUGUAAGCCCAUCUUUUUGGUCUUAUUUAAUUUGUAUUAAAGUUUCAAAUGAAAAGAAGAAACGUGAGGACUUUGAUAAUUAUUAUGCAAAUAAAACAAAAAAGUUGAGCCCAAGUUCAAUUUACAAUGGAAGAAUACGAGAAAUAACAAAAAAGUUGUUUUCUACUCUUGUUCACAAAUUGUGCAUUUACUUCUUGCAUUAGAAAAUUGAAAUUAUUAACAAGUUUAUUUCACAAAAUGAGAGUGGGAAUUGAAAUAGUAGGACUUACCCCAAUUUGGGAAUGAAAAUUCUUAGAGGAUGGAAAUUAGGAUUGGAAAAAAGUCCAGACUGGGUCGUAGGCUUAAAGCCAUGGCACGCAGAGGCUGAGCCUGGAUAUGGGCCACAAAAUUUAGAGUCCGCACAGGUUGGGUUAUGUCAUAAGAUGCCUUACAUAACAUUUUUUUUUCAUUUUGUUAUUUUUGCAAAACAGAAAAUGGCUGACCAUAAAAAUACCAAAUACCCUUUAUUCUUUUCUCAAUUUUUCAAUCAACCUCGUAGGGUUAUGAUGAAAUCAAUAGAGGCUUAAUUGUGGGGAUGUCAAUGGCCAAAUCGGGCUAGGGCUAUGAGUCAGGGUCACCUCGAAAAUUUUGUGUACAUUUUGCUUGAAAUGCAGUUGCAGUGGAGUGGACAUCAUAAGUUCAAGCACUUCCUGGCCUUCGGCGUUUUUCAAUAUCAAAGUUUACAUCCAGGAGGCCCGUUAUACCAGCUGUUAUCUUUUGACCAACUUUUACAGGGCCAACGCCCUGUGGAGUGCCUGCACAAACCGAAUCGAUGGUAAUAAGUCAAACUUCAGUUAUUCAUAAAGACUUGCAUACAAAACUGGGAGCUGAUUUUAAGGAUUUGAAUAUGAUUAUGAAAAUUGGAGAGAAGGAUAUCUUACGAAGUGAACACAGUAAAUAACAAUAAUGACACUAAUAACGUAACUUAUACACAGUGACAAUACACCUUCCUAAGCAUAAUAAGCUCUAACAUAUCAGUUAUCAGUAUUUAUACCAAGUAAAAUUGCACUAAUAUUCUUCACCAAAGCAAAAAUGAAAUUUGGUAACAGAUUCCACUAUCAACUGAUAUGCCAGUUUAUGCCAAGGCAUCAUAAUAUCUUGAAGCACCUAGAAAAAUUAACUUAUAAAGUAUGUUAGUGUUUUUAUUUGAAGGAAAAUGAACUGCAAUACCUGUUAAUAUGACAUCUCCUUCAAAAAGUGUCAUAAUUGAACUUAUGUGGCUAAUUAGAUAUGGUAUCUUAAAAAUCAUAUCCUUAGUGGAGCCUUUCUGUCGAAUCUCUCCAUCAACCUGCAGUGAAACACAUUUAAAGUUAAUCCACCCAGUGAAAAACAAAUUUGAAGCUUUGACAAAAGCCAUAAAGAAAUAUGAGAGUAAAGUGUAAUGAUUAUGCACCUUUAACCAUAGUUCCAAGUUGUGAGGGUCAGGCACUGCUGACUUUGGUAGCUGCAAAUAUAUUUUAAACAAGUCAAAAAGGAGUGUAUUUAGUAAACACAUAACAAAAUUGGCAAUAGAAAAUAAAAUUCUCUUCCUCUCUUCUUUUCUACUAGCAGAUACAAGUAAAGGGUGCACCAAGCGGAGGAUAAAUGGUAAACUCUUGUCUGCUUUGAAAGAAAAACACCAAUUUUCUUUUUCAAACUUCGACAAACAAGGUAUAAUCGCUAUUCUCAAGCACAAUUAUUUCCUUCCCAUAGCCUAUCCCAAAGCCACAUUUGGUGCUGUCAAUGGCCUAACAAUAAACUGGUUCAAAAUUAGGCUUUCAAUAUCGGGCCUGAAAAUUGAUUACUGCACAACAUAAUUUCAGCAGAGACAGAAACAUCAAAGUACUUCAAUCAGUUUCUUACGACAGAGCUAAUUGGAGUGAAGGUGUCCUGCCCUUUAACCACUGUCCACGGAAGACAUGCAGACGGACAUAUUGGACAAAAAAUAAAUGACAAGAAAAUGCAGCAUUAUAAAUUGGAUCAAAUAAGAUAACUUAAUGUGCUCAUACACUUAUUGUUUCAUAAUGAAGCACACAAGUAGUAUCCAAUCUUCUGAUUAUAAGUAGGUAUUAUUUCAGUAUACAAUUGAAUAAUACUCGAUCCUCGUGUUAAAAAAACAUAACACAUUACAAAGGAAUAAACCCAUCUUCUCUCAUAGGCAUAAAUUCUCUCCAAAUCGAAAAGAAAAAAAAAAUGUGCUAUUUAAUCGCCAAGACAUUGAUUCGGAACCUGUCUAAUUUCAUUACAAAACUUCCAAUCUGAGUAUUCUUUAAAUAUCUGAAAGAUUAAAAUUUAUCCAAAUAAUAAUCUCAUUAGCUGUUAUUCGAAAAUGUUGGGAUCCGGUCAUAAGAUUAUCCCCUUAGCGAUCCGGUUGUUAUUAUUCCAAUCCUCAAAAUUUCACCCAAAUUUGGUUAAGAAAUUGCUGAUAAGUCAUUUAAGGUGAUGUUUCCCGCUGCACUUUUUCAAUUGCAAGUGGUACGAGAGUAGACAGAUACCGAUCACCAGAGUCUUGGGUCGAGUGACUUAUCUCCUUAACGAAUUCUUCAUGUUCAGGACCUCGAUGCGAACUGAAAUUUUGGUAAAUGAAGCAAAAUCUAAGUUAAAAUGAUCUGCUUUAGAAUUUAAGGUUUCUUCAAAACCAAGGCGGAACGUUAGCCAAAAAUGUGCAUUUCUUUUCCUAAGUUAAAAUGAUUUGCCUCGUUUACUUAUUUAUUAUUGGCUCAAAUAAGCUUGACCAGCAAGCAUGAAGGAAGUUGAACAACAGCCAGUGAAGUAAGUUGUAUCAUCAUCUGGUGAAUCUGUUUUAGCCUGCUGCUGCACACGAGUAAUUUGAUAUGAUAACAAUUUAAAACUGCAAUGCAAUAUGGAAACAGAAGUUUUAAGGGGCACUAACAGCUUGCAUUCGGUAACUUUGUGCUGUUGAUGGCUCAGAGUUCCCACGGCUUCUUCUCUCAUUCACAAGAAGAAGUGCACAUUUUCAUGUAAAGAACAGAAGCAGCACUCCCACAAAAAACGUAAUAGAGAAUUCGAUGACAAUGCCUGAUCCUAGAGCUGUAUUCGCAGGAAAAGGUUAGUGAGCAACAAAUCUGUGAAAUGGAUAGUCAUUAAAAUGACAACUAUCACUUACUAUGAGCUAACUCUGAACUCAUUGGCCUUCUACUGAUCAAGUUUACGGUAGCCUCAGCGAAUAAAGGUAAUGAGAUUUUCUCAGUACAAUCUGAACGGCAACCAUAAUGUCCCAUAUCGUUUAAUUUCACUUUUAAAACAUCAUGUCCUUCACCACUCUAAAUGCAAAGAACAGAUGGCUGAUUCAAGAUCAUUGAUAUUUUCUUUGUGGUGUGCUCUGUGAUUGUGUUUUCCUCCAAAGUUAUACUAUAAACUUCAAAGCGAAAAAACUUACUUGAUAAAAGAGUUGUUGCAUUAUUGUGCCUCGAAACCUAACUACGUUGGCUUUAAUUGUUACAAUAUAUCCAGGGACUUGAAUAAAUGGAGAAUCAUUAACUGGAUCCACAAAAACCAAAACCGCCAAAUCAUUUUUCCCAUUCUUGUUCCUGGCAGAGACUAGAAUUGCGUCCUCACCAUAAAAGUUUUUGUUUCUGAAUUAAAAAAUGAAAAAAACAAGUCACUAGUAAGGUAGGAAUAAUGUAAAGCUUGAAAAGUCCAUAAGAGUAGUAAUUCGGGAGGUAAUACCCGAGAUAUUGAAUUAUAUCGAGUGAGUGAUAAUACUGGCUGUCACUUCCUUUGUCAAUGGAUAGCCCCCAUUCAAAACAAUAUUUGCGCAGAGUACAAGAAUUUUAUAAAUUCCACUCUUUUCAGGAGUAUAAGUAACAUCAAAAGCUCUGGCCUGAACUUUCAGUUUGCCGGAAGACUGGAUUCAAGGGGAAUUUUUUUUUUUUUUUAAAAAAAAGAAGGCAUCACUCAAGAAAAUCUUAUGCAUGACUUCUCAAAGAAAAUAUGUGAAUUUGUUUCUUACUGUGUUAGUUGCGUCAACAGACGGUGAGGGAGCAAUUUCUAUCUGGUCAAUAAUGCCAUUAGUUGGUUCUAUUAAUCUUCCAUUUCUAAAACGAUAGGGCUGAAGUCUGUUAUAAUUAAUUAGUCUUCGAUAUGAUAUUAUAUUAUUGUAUGUAGUCAAAUAAUAACAAUGUAAUAUUAGCUUUAGACUGUUUAUAAGACUUUUAACUUAGAGAUGUUUCGGUGACAUAAUUUAUCAUCACAAACAUUAAUCUGGAUCUGCCGAGCCAUGUCAUGUGGGGGAAUUAAAAAGAGAGAGCAGCACAGCAUACAAGAAAAUAUUCUGAAAUGGUGCCCAAAUUCAACAACUAAUAAACAAGCAAACUUGUAUCUUAUAAUUUUUUUUUUUUUCUUUUAUCUAAGAAGCCUGUGGUGUCUAAUCCACCUUCAAGUACAUACUGUAUUAGCAAUUAACUUAUUCGUAGUGUACUUUGAAAAGUGUAACUGAAUAUGAUCCUAAAAAACAUAAUGAAUUCAAUCAACAGUAUCUCCCCUGCCAUUCAUUUGAGGAGUCUUCAUAUAGUACAGUGCUGUAUGACAUACAGCCUACUUUUUCCACUUGAACAACCGGUAUUUUACCGGUUGUUCUUUCAAUAAUUUUUUAAAAAUCAUUUUUAAUGCAGAAAAAAUAAAAUAAAAUGAAAAAAAUUAAGGAAAUUUAUAAACAUUUAACUUAAAAAAUAUUUGAGUGAGAAAAAUAUUUUUAAUCUAAAUGAAAGUUAAAAAAAAAGGUAAAAUAAUCAUGUCCCAAUACUUUUGGUUAAAUAUCAAUAUAUUAGGUUGAUGUUUCAAAUUAAUUUCACAUGUCUCUAAUUUUGGUUAAACUUUCUCACGAAUAGGUUCAUUUGUUUAUACUUUCCAAUUCACUAGUUUUGUGCUUAAUAUUCCUAUUAAAUUCGUUAGAUACUAAUAUUUUGGGUUAAAUUCCAAGUAGAUUCGUUUCUCGUUAAAAAAGUUUCUAAAUUUGGUUAUUCUUUCUCCCCUUUUGGUUUAUAUGUUUCAACUAUUAUUCCACUGGUUUUGCGUUUAAUAUUCCAACUAACUUGGUAAGAUUCCGGUUGUUUGGGUUAAAUACCCAAAUUAUUUUUUUUUGGUUAGAUUAGUUCCUGAUUUUGGUUAUUUUUUUUCAUUUAUAGGUUCAUAUAUUUCAAUUUAUUAUUCCACCGAUUUUACAUUUGAUAUUCCUACUAAAUUCGUUAAAUGCCAAAAUUUUGGGUUAUGUUCCAAGUAACUUUCAUUUUCCGUUGGAUGAAUUCCUAAUUUUCAUUACACUUUCUCUCUUAUUGGUUCAUGUGUUUCAACUAAUUGUUACUCUAAUUUUGUGUUAAAUAUUUCCAUUAAUUUGGCAAGAUUCCAAUUAUUCCGGUUAGGUACCAGAUUUAUUUUUCAUAAUUUUAUUUUUGGUUAGGUAAGUUCCUAAUUUUGGUUAUACUUUCUCCCUUAUGGGUCUAUAUAUUUCAACUAUUAUUUCACUGAUUUUGCAUUUAAUAUUCCAAUUAACUUAGUAAGAUUCCGGUUGUUUGGGUUAAAUACCCAAAUUAUUAUUUUUGGUUAGAUUAGUUCCUAAUUUUGAUUAAGUUUUUUCAUUUAUAGGUUCAUAUGUUUCAAUUUAUUACUCCACUGAUUUUACGUUUGAUAUUCCUACUAAAUUCGUUAAAUGCCAAAAUUUUGGGUUAUGUUACAAGUAACCUUAAUUUUUCGUUGGAUGAGUUCCUAUUUUUCGUUGCACUUUCUCUCUUAUUGGUUCAAGUGUUUCAACUAAUUGUUACUCUAAUUUUGUGUUGAAUAUUCCCAUUAAUUUGGUAAGAUUCCAAUUAUUUCGGUUAGUUACCAAAUUUAUUUUUCAUAAUUUUAUUUUUGGUUAAAUAAGUCCCUAAUUUUGGUUAUACUUUCUCCCUUAUGGGUACAUAUAUUUCAACUAUUAUUUAACUGAUUUUGCGUUUAAUAUUCUAAUUAACUUGGUAAGAUUCCGGUUGUUUGGGUUAAAUACCCAAAUUAUUUUUUUUGGUUAGAUUAGUUCCUAAUUUUGAUUAAGUUUUUUCAUUUACAGGUUCAUAUGUUUCAACUUAUUAUUCCAUCGAUUUUACGUUUGAUAUUCCUACUAAAUUUGUUAAAUACCAAAAUUUUGGGUUAUGUUCCAAGUAACUUUCAUUUUUCGUUUGAUGAGUUCCUAAUUUCCGUUGCGCUUUCUCUCUUAUUAGUUUAUGUGUUUCAAGUAAUUGUUACUCUAAUUUUGUGUUGAAUAUUCCUAUUAAUUUGGUAAGACUCCAAUUAUUCCGGUUAGGUACCAAAUUUAUUUUUCAUAAUUUUAUUUUUGGUUAGGUAAGUAUCUAAUUUUGGUUAUACUUUCUCCCUUAUGGGUCUAUUUGUUUCAACUAUUAUUCUACUAAUUUUGGUUUGAACCUUCCCAUUAACUUGGCAAUAUUCCAAUUAUUGGGUUAAAUAGUCAAUGUACUCGUAUUACCAAUAACAAUAAUAUUAAUAAGGUGAAUUAUGUUUAACCCCUUACUAUUUUAGUAAAUAUCAACUUACUAUAUAGUACUAAAAAAUCUUUAUUACAACCCUUAAUCUUUUCUAAUAUUUUGUCUAUAAUCUAAGUCCAUUUUUUUUCUAUUUUCUUCACUUGAAUUUGAUUGUGUGUGUGUGUGUGUGUGUGUGUGUGUGUCUAUAUAUAUAUAUAUAUACAUACUUGAGCGAGUAAUCUUUAUACAUAUUUAUUCUCAUUUUAUCAUUUUAAUUAAUUGUUUUUAGUUAUCAAGUAAAUUAAUGCAUUCAUUUUCAGCUUUGACAGUAGAUUAAAAGUAUAUAUAAAGGUGCGUGCAAUUGCUGUGUUUUUCAAAAAAAAAUUAAUUUUUUAAAAGUUUUGACAGCAUAAAUUAUAAAAAAAAUUUAAACUUACAAAAGUUGAAAUUUUCUUAAUUUAUUUGUGUUGAAUUAUCUUUUUUCUCUUUUUGGGGGGAUCAAUUGAAUUGAUAAGAUUUCUUGAACUUGAAUUUAUUUAUACUUAAAUUUUGAUUUUUGUAAAUGUUAUGCCCAUUUUAUCAUUCAAUUAACCAUAUUUAUUUAUCUUUAAACUAAAAUAAAUCAAGAAUUAAGAUUUUUUUGAAUUCGAAUUAAAUUUUUACCACUCUAUUUUCUUUUCAAAUUAGUUUUAGUAAUUUCCAACUACUUCAACAAAAUAUUUAUGUUAUUAAUUAUAAAUAUUAUUAUAUUAUACUUGUAUUAUUACCACUAUUAUUAUUAUUUGUUUUUUAAACUAUUACUACAAUUAUUAUUACUACAAUCAUGAGAUUUUUUAACAAAAUUUUUUCUUACAAUGAGUAUUCUUCCUUUUCAUUUUUAAAUAUGUAUAUAAUUUUUGAUUUAUAAAAUAAGUUCUUCAAUAUAAUUUUCAGAAAUUUGUUAUGCCCAACAAUAUGGUACGAUGAAAAUCUAACAUUAUAGUAAUAUGAUUUUGCAUGUUUAAUUAAUUUAUCUUUUUCAAAUGGUCUUUUUUACUCAUAAAAUUAUUGACAUUUAUUUGCAAAUAAAAUUAUAACGUCCUCCUAAUUUAUCCGAUGCACUUAAAAAUUACUCAAAUCAAGAGUUUCAUUACAAGAAUGAGAACUUCGAUCACUUAAGCAGUUACUUACAAUAGUAACAUAAUGUGAGGCUUAUUGAAAAGUUAAAAUUGUAAAAAGAGUCGACCCUAAAACCACUUUUGUUCAGAAAUUUUUUUACAAACUUGUGAGAAAAUAACUCUUUAAAAACUAUUAAUAUCAAUAAAACAAUCACAAAAUUAAAUCAAUUCACAGCUUCCAAAAGCUAAAUCAAAUGCUAAUAAUUUGAGAUUUAGAUUUCAUGGGUCUCUGCAUAAAAAAAUACAAAAACCAAAUGAAAUUAGAAAAAAAGGCUGCAAAAAAAUAACAAAAAUAUUCAAAUUUCAAAGGUAUGAUCCAAAUUCUUAGGCAGGAUCAAAUAUCUAUUGUUUUGAACAAAAAAAAAUUGAAACUUAAAUAUAAAAUAACACAAAACUAUAUUCUAAUUUUAACAACAUAUUUUUUUGAUGAUUUUUUAACAACAAUAUUCAAAAUAUAAAAAAAAAAAUUUCUCGACUAGGGUUUCUAACAAUGGAAGAAUGAGAGGUAUUUAUAUUUUGAAUCAAAAUUUGGGGAAAAAAUUAAAAAAUUGUAAAUGUACGCGGUAUUAAAACAAAAUUGCUUUUUAUCUUGGCGGUAGUUUUACCCACCUAAAUGAAACCUAAGUACUUAUUGUUUCACCAAAAAAAUAAUAUAAUUUAAUUUAAAAAAUAUAGAUAUAAAAUUUAAGCUUGUUAAUAUUUUUACAUAAUUUUAUAUUUUUAGUUGUUAUAUAAAUUAACUUAAUUUUAAAAAAUAUAGAUAUAAAUGUAAGAUUGAACUAAUUUUGUGAUCAUUGCACACUAUUCAGUAUACAAAUCAUGAACCAUCAAGUGAGUGUAGUGUUACUCAAAUAAUUUGAUUUAAUUUAGAAAUGUAAUUGUCGUGCUUAAAGUAUAUAACUGUAAAAAUAAUUUAAUAUAACAUUAUUCAAUAUUAGUUGCAUUCAAUUUGUAAUUAUCCAUAUUAUGUACCAUUAUAAAUUUGAUUAAUGUUUAGCAAAAAAAAAUUACUAUACCAAAAAAAAUUAAAUAAAGUAAUUAAUUUGACAUAAUUUUGUAUAAAUCAAUUUGCAUAAGAGAUUGUUUGUGAGUUUUAUUUAAAAAUAUGAAAUAUUAGAUGCUUUAUAUUUGUCUAAUAUAUGAUUUUUUUUUUAGAGGGUAUACAAAGAACAUAUAUUAGCCACUAAUAAUAACAACAACAACAACAUUUGAGGGGUAAGUAUGAUUUUGGUAUAAUAAUUAUUCGAUAGUUGGAUAAACAUUACAAUCAUUUUCGUAGUUAGGGAUUUAAGUCCUUAUAUGUGUAUUGUGGUUUGUGGGAUAUUGAGAUUGAUUUCUUCCAAAUAUUUAGGAAUGAAUUGUUUUUAUUAUAUGUUUAGAUACUUGGAUUUUAAUGUGAUUAAAAGUUGAUAAAGUUGUUUUGAUAGUUUUUUAGGCAAAACAUCAUUACAUUUAUAAAGUAAUAUAAAAAUAGUUUAAUUGAUAUAUAAUUUAUUUUUUAAUUAAUAUAUAGUUUAUUGUAAUUUUUUAUAUUAAAAUAUUAUUCUUAUUAGUACUUAAGUUACAUUUUAAAGUAAAAUAUCAUUAAAUUUAUAACGUAAUAUUAAUAAAAUAAAAUAAUUAUUUUUGUUUAAAUAUAUUAAUCUAUUAAUUUUACUUAAUUAUAUUUUUAUUAGUACAUAAGUUAAAUAUAUUAACUAUUUUUUCAUGAAUUAAAAGAAAAAGUAGUAUUUUCUUUUUUUAAGUUGAGGGGGUCUUUGAUAGUUUUCUAACUUUAGAUUGAUUAUCGUAAUAUUUACCUAACAUGAGGGAGCCAUAUGAUAGUUACCAUUUAAUAUUUGCCUCUUUUAAGCAAUUAAAAUGAGAGUACCGGUGGCCGGUUAUUGGUUGUAUUAAUAAAAUAAUAAAAAGCGGCUGUAUGAGAUACAACCGCUGUAUUAUAAGCGGACCCUCAUUUGAGAACUUGUUUUAUCUAAGAAGCCGGUGGUCUAAUCCAAAUCAUACUUGUCUAUCUCGGUACAGCUGCCCGAGAUGGGCCACACUGCAAUGCUUUUCAAAAUUUCUCUGAAAUACUCGUCAAAAAAAAAAAAAAAAAAAAUUUCUCUGAAAUAUAUAGGUGUAUUUUCCGACACUUAAUUAAAUGAGUUUUAAUUCAAUUAAAUGAUGAUGUUACAGCUCACGCCCUAAAAAGUAACGUACAAUCAUAAGGCCACGCCUAUGUUACAACUGUAGUGAGUUACCACACUUUUUGUCUGUUUGCUAGUAAACCGUUGGGUUCAAAUGAAAGUGAUCCAACGAUCAAUAACUUGACACCUGGACAUUAAUGCUUACCGGCUAAUUCGGUUAUGAAAAGUAAUAAAUUCGAGACCAAAAUUGUGGUGCUAGGUAACAACGCUCUGGUUGUGAAUAACGAAAUUAAAGGAAAGAUAAAAAUGCAACAAAACAGUGGUGUCUGGUAACAACCACGGUGUUAACAAGAAUAAGUUAAUCCAAUUCUAGAGAGUAGCAGCAAACUUACCAAAAAAAUUAUCAGAGACAAUUUAUCAAACACCUAUUUUUGUGCUUAAAACUGCAAAUUUGCAAUCUCAUUACAGACCUAAUCUAUCAUUGUCAAAAAAAUCCAUCAAAAUCAUUAAAAAAAAAAAGUCUUCAAAUAUAAAGAGAAUGGAAAAAAAAAAAAUCCGCCUUUUAACAAUAUUGAUAGUCGAUAGCUGCCGACGCUACCAAUUCUAUACCAGCUAUGUUCGCAGGUCGCUGUCACUUCCAUGGCAAGCAUUUUGAUCUAGCUGCCAUCGUCUGGACUUGAAAUUGCAGGUAAUCGCCUUGCUGCCAUCAUGGAGAUGUAUGAACCAUGGCCAAUAGGCAUCAAAUUCAUAAGCAACACCGCCCACAUUCACCAAGUUCAUGCCAAGCCCACCAGCAACCAUUGAUUAAUGGCAAGUUUAGUGUUUUAAAGUCUAGAAUUUUGUAGACACUCUCGGUUUCUUUUACCGUUAAUUCACUACCACCGCCGAUUUGGUUGAGGAAAAUAAAUGUUUCAGAGUUUACAAGGGUAAUUGAUUAACAUUAUUAAAAAAAAAAAUUGAUAGUGUGGCCUUUUUUAAAAUUGAAAUGUAGAAAGUGGUUAAAUCUGUAGAUUCUCAUUAAAAUUGAACCCAAAAUAUAAUUAAAAUAUUAUACAAAUUCAUUAAAUCUUCAACAUAAUUCUAAACCCACAAAAUGAAUUAAUUUAAAAGGAAAAUACCCAUUAUUUGGAGAAGCACUUACUACCGUACCCAUGUAACAAAUCAUCAAAAACCAACUUGGUUUGGACUUUGGACUCUUCAAUUUCAAUUUGACUCCUCCACCAAAGCACCCAACAACAACUCAACAACUAAAUCACUCGUCCUAAUAGCAUAACAAUCCGGCCGCCGGCUGCCUGCACGUGAGAGGCCAUUUUCUUGGUCAUGGUCGGAAUUCUGGAAUUAAUUCUGCGAUCCUCUUGUAUCGAUUUUCAUCUUCUAUGCUGCUCAAGAAGUGAAAAAAGAUGUCGGUUAAACCCUAAUUACAAUCACUUCCGGUUUCAAUUAGCUGAUGUUUGUCAUCCUCUUAUAUUAAUUUUGGUUUACAGUUGCCUGAAGAAGAGCAUCCAUGUCCGUCGAAUCCUGCUUACCCUUAGUUUUACCUGCAAUUAGAUUUAUGUAAAUUAAAGCAACCGGCUAAACCGUUGACCAGUGGUCGUUUAAUUAUCAAACAAUUAUUUGUGGCCGUUAGAUUAAAUAAUAAGGCAUCCAUCGGCUGUACUAAAUACAGACAAAAAGUAUGAUAUGAUACAACUGUUGUAACAGAGCUGAUCCAAUUAUUGAUCUAAUCUACAGUUAUCACCAGCUGUGGUAUCAUAUCGCUGUAGCACUGGACCCCUAUAUAUGAUGCAAUCAUGCAAAACGAUUCUCCUCGAACUCAUCCUAUAAAGUUAUCUUUACCAGCAAUCCAUUCUUGGAUAAUCCGCUUGGAAAGUCUUCCUUUUCAUUCCUAAUUUUUCCUCUCUCUUCUAUCCUCUAACUUUAGUUAGCAACAUAAUAACCAGAAAUCAGAACCUCUAAUUCACUCACAGGCAGUGUUUUUACUUUUGAGGUACUGAAUUAACAUGAAGGGCAUCCAACACAGAACUGUUAAGGUGAAUGGUAUUAACAUGCACAUUGCAGAGAAAGGCCAAGGUCCCGUGAUUCUCUUCCUUCACGGCUUUCCUGAGCUCUGGUACUCUUGGCGCCACCAGAUCACCGCCUUGGCUUCCCUUGGCUACAGAGCCGUGGCUCCGGACUUACGUGGGUUCGGUGACACGGAUGCGCCGCCUGACGUGACCAGCUACACAUGUUUCCACGUGAUUGGAGACCUCGUCGGACUCAUCGACACCGUGGCUCCCAAUGAUGAGAAGGUGUUUGUUGUGGGACAUGAUUGGGGUGCGUUCAUGGCAUGGCUCUUAUGUUUGUUUAGACCUGACAGAGUCAAAGCUUUAGUCAACUUGAGUGUCGUUUUUAAUCCUUUUGGUUCUAUCAACAACGUGAUUGAGGCUCUGAGGGCUUAUUAUGGUGACAAUUACUACAUGUGCAGAUUUCAG